CCUACGGGAGGCAGCAGUGAGGAAUAUUGGUCAAUGGACGAGAGUCUGAACCAGCCAAGUAGCGUGAAGGAUGACUGCCCUAUGGGUUGUAAACUUCUUUUAUAUGGGAAUAAAAUGUUCCACGUGUGGGAUUUUGUAUGUACCAUAUGAAUAAGGAUCGGCUAACUCCGUGCCAGCAGCCGCGGUAAUACGGAGGAUCCGACCGUUAUCCGGAUUUAUUGGGUUUAAAGGGAGCGUAGGUGGAUUGUUAAGUCAGUUGUGAAAGUUUGCGGCUCAACCGUAAAAUUGCAGUUGAAACUGGCAGUCUUGAGUACAGUAGAGGUGGGCGGAAUUCGUGGUGUAGCGGUGAAAUGCUUAGAUAUCACGAAGAACUCCGAUUGCGAAGGCAGUUCACUGGACUGCAACUGACACUGAGGCUCGAAAGUGUGGGUAUCAAACAGGAUUAGAUACCCCAGUAGUC
rnacentral:rRNA from 1 species